ACUACCCCUAGAGGUGUUGCAGAUGUUGCUGUUGUGUCACAUGUUUGUAAGUAGGUGGCAAAGAUCAGAAAAGCUGUCUACACUCAAUGUGUUGACCUGUGAACAUCUGAAAAAGCAAGUUAGGGACU